UUUUCCUCUCGCCUUGCUACCCCCGCCGCUCACGCCACUUGCCCGCACUCCUGCUGCACCGCCAGCAAGCUGCCCCUCCCUGCCCCCAACCCUCCCUCCCCACUACAAUCUGCACGGCCUCUAUGCCACCAGAGUGGGGUGCGAUGGCGGCGGCUUCCAGCGAGCGGCGCGCCUCCCUCCCUCCCUGCUCUCUCUCUCUCUCACUAUGUGACCUCCAUGUAUCCGAAGACGAUGACGACGAUGCGGCUCCGACAAGGUAGGUGGAGAGAGGUUUGGAUCUGAGGUCUCUCUUUUCCUCUUCAUCCUCCUGUGGAUCUGGAUCUAAGAUCUCCUCCCCUCCUCCUCCUCCUCCUCCACCACCACCUCCUCUAGCCCCUACUCCUCCUCCUUGUCGUCCUCUUUCCUCCUCCCCCUCUUUGAUCUAAAGGAUGUAAUAGUGGCUAAGGUUGUGGCGAGCUCUUUGGGUUCAGCUCUUGUCGUUGUUGGAAUCGUUCUGAUUCAAUGUUGCAACAGAUGAGUUUAGAAUAUUACAAUGGUAUUUUUUGGUUGUUUGCAACAGGGUUUUUUUAUGUUGGAGUAGUAGCGUUUGACAUAUUGCAAUAGUUUUUCUACGUUUGUUGCAAUGGAUUUUGCCUAAAUGUUGAGCCACGAGUGCCGCGCGCCCUUGGCUUCUUAUCCAUUCCCAUCCCCAUCCGUGACCCCCUGCGCCCGCUCUCUCGCUCUGCUCAUCUGCUCCCCCCUCCUGCUCCUCCUGUACCCACUAUGCUGCCACCGCGUGCUAUUCUACAGGCUGUCGUGCUCACACGCCAUGUUGCUGCUCCUGCCCCUCCCUUCCUCCCUCCCUCACUCCCUCCACGAUCACCAACGAAGAUGAGGAUGACAGCGGCAG
rnacentral:lncRNA from 1 species